GGCAGAGAGAGCCCGGUUCCCGCGCCCCGGCCCGCGAGCAAGGGGCGUGAGGAAAGUCCCCCCACCGUCCGGACGGGCGACCGGGCGCAAGCCCGGAGUCGGAGACGGCUGGCUCUGGAACAGAAACGAGACCGCCUGCCCCGACCCAUGACGUGUGCGAACCGACCCGUAAGGGGAGGGAGCUAACCCACGGAGGGCCGACGGGCAGGAACGGAUGGAACGGCGAACCCUCGCCGGUGCAAGCCCGUGCCCGAAGGUAGUCCGGACAGCCGGCGACGGCAGGGCGCGGGUGCUCAGCCGAAUGUCGGGUCGAAACAGAAGGGGGCUUACUCCUCUCAGCC
rnacentral:RNase_P_RNA from 2 species